rnacentral:rRNA from 1 species
GACGAACGCUGGCGGCGUGCUUAACACAUGCAAGUCGAACGGAAAGGCCCUGCUUUUGUGGGGUGCUCGAGUGGCGAACGGGUGAGUAACACGUGAGUAACCUGCCCUUGACUUUGGGAUAACUUCAGGAAACUGGGGCUAAUACCGGAUAGGAGCUCCUGCUGCAUGGUGGGGGUUGGAAAGUUUCGGCGGUUGGGGAUGGACUCGCGGCUUAUCAGCUUGUUGGUGGGGUAGUGGCUUACCAAGGCUUUGACGGGUAGCCGGCCUGAGAGGGUGACCGGCAACAUUGGGACUGAGAUACGGCCCAGACUCCUCCGGGAGGCAGCAGUGGGGAAUAUUGCACAAUGGGCGGAAGCCUGAUGCAGCAACGCCGCGUGCGGGAUGACGGCCUUCGGGUUGUAAACCGCUUUCGCCUGUGACGAAGCGUGAGUGACGGUAAUGGGUAAAGAAGCACCGGCUAACUACGUG